rnacentral:rRNA from 1 species
GACGAACGCUGGCGGCGUGCUUAACACAUGCAAGUCGAACGGAAAGGCCCUGCUUUUGUGGGGUGCUCGAGUGGCGAACGGGUGAGUAACACGUGAGUAACCUGCCCUUGACUUUGGGAUAACUUCAGGAAACUGGGGCUAAUACCGGAUAGGAGCUCCUGCUGCAUGGUGGGGGUUGGAAAGUUUCGGCGGUUGGGGAUGGACUCGCGGCUUAUCAGCUUGUUGGUGGGGUAGUGGCUUACCAAGGCUUUGACGGGUAGCCGGCCUGAGAGGGGGACCGGCCACAAUGGGACUGAGAUACGGCCCAGACGCCAACGGGAGGCAACGGUGGAGAAUAUUACACAGUGGGCGGGAGCCUGAUGCGACGACGCCGCGUGCGGGAAGACGGCCUUCGGGUUGUAAACCGCUUUCGCCUGUGACGAAGCGUGAGUGACGGUAAUGGGUAAAGAAGCACCGGCUAACUACGUG